UACGUAGGGUGCAAGCGUUAAUCGGAAUUACUGGGCGUAAAGCGUGUGUAGGCGGAUCGUUAAGUGCUUUGUGAAAUCCCACAGCUUAACUGUGGAACUGCUUGGCAUACUGGCGGUCUUGAGCCAUCUAGGGGUUGCUGGAACAAACGGUGGAGCGGUGAAAUGCGUAGAUAUCGUUUGGAACGCCAAUGGUGAAAACAGGCAACUGGGGAUGUGCUGACGCUGAGACACGAAAGCCAGGGGAGCAAACGGG
rnacentral:rRNA from 1 species